rnacentral:lncRNA from 1 species
UCAGAUUCUUUCCCAGGAUAUGCUCAAGAAGUACAUAACGUACGCAAAACUGAACGUGUUCCCCAAGCUGCACGACGCGGACUUGGACAAGCUCACCCACGUCUAUGCCGAGCUACGAAGGGAAUCAUCUGUGAGAUACCCAGUUGGCUGGCAUUCGAUAGAUAAAAAAAAAUGUCCUUCUGAUUGAUGAUCACCAUCUGACUCUGUGUUUGUCUGGGCCGGCGCAGCACGGGCAAGGAGUCCCCAUUGCGGUGCGGCACAUCGAAUCCAUGAUACGAAUGUCCGAAGCGCAUGCCAGGAUGCACCUGAGGAACUACGUGACUCAGGAG